ensembl:lncRNA
CUCUCUCUCUCUCUCUCUCUCUCGCUCUCUCACACACACACACACACACACACACAGACUUGGCUCAUAAAGUAGCAAGUUUAACUGCAAGAGUGCAAGAUUAACACUGGCAUUAAUUAAUUUAUUUCACGGCUUUAUAGAAUUCCAUUCAGGGAGAUUGACUCAGUCCCGGACUCACAGGAGUAACAUAAUUGGACAUAAGAGAUUAUGCUUUUUCAGAUAUUAUCUUUAUUUUUUUUCAAAAAAGGUUUCAAAAAUCAAAGUGCAUGACAAACGGAGUUAUUGACUCCCAAAAGAAAGAACCGAUUCUGAACAGCCUGAAACAAGUCGUUAGUAAUUCAACACUUACUUCCUGUACAAACCUACAUAGGGUCUUCAUUGGCGGCUCGUGAAACAACGUGACUUUGACCCGCCCUCAGACACUACAGUUGAUGUUGCAUCCUGAAAGGGUUAGGUUCAUGUCUAGAAGAUGUUGUUUUCUGCGCUGCAAAAGCAAAACCACUUUGCAUGGAUUCCCAAAGGAUGAUGGUGUAAAGCGUCAGUGGUUAAAAUUCAUUUUAAACUGAUACCACAGCAGUUCAACGCUGACCUUCGUUUGUGUUCCCAUCAUUUCACUGAUGACUGCUUCUCAAAUCGAGUCAAUGCGGGAUUUGCGAAACGAUUAUUGAUUAAAGAUUCGCCAGUACCCACUUUAUUUGGACCAUUUUGUGCCUCUGGAUCACAACCUAGACGCAGGAGAGCCUGGAGUUUAUACCAAGGAACUCGGGGCAAGGGAACAAUCUGGAAAUGCAACAUGUCUUUGGACUGGGUGGAGGAAACCGGAGUACCCGGAGUAAACACCCUGAAGCAUGGGGAGAACAUGCACACUCCAUGCAUGCAGGUUAGAUGUAGGAAUCGUACCCCCAACCCCAGAGUGUGAGGCAAACAUGCUACCCA